rnacentral:rRNA from 1 species
UACGGAGGAUGCAAGCGUUAUCCGGAAUGAUUGGGCGUAAAGCGUCCGCAGGUGGCUAUGUAAGUCUGCUGUUAAAGAGUCUAGCUCAACUAGAUAAGAGCAGUGGAAACUACAAGGCUAGAGUACGUUCGGGGCAGAGGGAAUUCCCGGUGUAGCGGUGAAAUGCGUAGAGAUCAGGAAGAACACCAGUGGCGAAGGCGCUCUGCUAGGCCGUAACUGACACUGAGGGACGAAAGCUAGGGGAGCGAAUGGG